rnacentral:rRNA from 1 species
AUUGAACGCUGGCGGCAGGCCUAACACAUGCAAGUCGAACGAGUGGCGGACGGGUGAGUAAUGUCUGGGACACUGCCUGAUGGAGGGGGAUAACUACUGGAAACGGUAGCUAAUACCGCAUACCAUCGGAUGUGCCCAGAUGGGAUUAGCUAGUAGGUGGGGUAAAGGCUCACCUAGGCGACGAUCCCUAGCUGGGCUGAGAGGAUGACCAGCCACACUGGAACUGAGACACGGUCCAGCCUCCUACGUGAGUCAGCAGUGGGGAAUAUUGCACAGUGGGCGCAAGCCUGAUGCAGCCAUGCCGCGUGUAUGAAGAAGGCCUUCGGGUUGUAGAGUACUUUCAGCGGGGAGGCGUUACCCGCAGAAGAAGCACCGGCUAACUCCGUGCCAGCAGGCGCGGUAAUUC